AGGACGAACGCUGGCGGCGUGCCUAACACAUGCAAGUCGAACGGGACUUACCGGAACGAGACUUCGGUCAAGUGAAAGUGAGUUUAGUGGCGGACGGGUGAGUAACGCGUGAGCAACCUGCCUUUCGGAGGGGGACAACAGCUGGAAACGGCUGCUAAUACCGCAUAAUAUUACCAGUAGGCAUCUACAGGUAAUCAAAGAUUUAUCGCCGAAAGAUGGGCUCGCGUCUGAUUAGAUAGUUGGUGGGGUAACGGCCCACCAAGUCAACGAUCAGUAGCCGGACUGAGAGGUUGAACGGCCACAUUGGGACUGAGAUACGGCCCAGACUCCUACGGGAGGCAGCAGUGGGGAAUAUUGGGCCAAUGGGGGCAACCCUGACCCGGCAACGCCGCGUGAAGGAAGAAGGCUUUCGGGUUGUAAACUUCUUUGACGAGGGACGAAGUAAGUGACGGUACCUCGAAAACAAGCCACGGCUAACUACGUGCCAGCCGCAGC
rnacentral:rRNA from 1 species